rnacentral:pre_miRNA from 5 species
UUUUGUGGAUGAGCAAAGAAAAUGGUUCCUUGAGAUGGAAUCUACUCUUGGUGAAGAUGUUGUGAA